rnacentral:rRNA from 1 species
GACGGAGGGUGCAAGCGUUGUUCGGAUUGACUGGGCGUAAAGGGCGUGUAGGCGGUUGGCCAAGUCUGAUGUGAAAGCCCGAGGCUCAGUCUCGGAAGUGCGUCGGAAACUAGUCGGCUGGAGCGCGAUAGAGGAGGGUGGAAUUCCUGGUGUAGCGGUGAAAUGCGUAGAUAUCAGGAGGAACACCGGCGGCGAAGGCGGCCCUCUGGAUCGUUGCUGACGCUGAGACGCGAAAGCGUGGGGAGCAAACAGG